AGACCAAAGGUGGAAAAGAACUUAAUCAGACUCUUAAUAAUUGUCUUAGCUGUAAUUAUCCGGAGAGGAAUAGCCUCCGGGUACCGAGUGGCGCUGCACAUAAUGGUAAGCAGAAACUGGUUACCUGUUCGAGUUUUUGGUAAUGGACCCACACAGUCAACAAUCACCCUCUCAAACGGUUCUCCAAUCACAGGAAUCGGGUGAAGUGGCACACGAGGAACAGUUACCCCUAAAUGUCCGGACCAUGCAGGGUUAUGAGCCAGUGACAAUACUUGCUGCCGUAAUGGUGAUGGAACAACUACCUGCCAAACUGUAUCCCAGUCCUCACCUGUUUUAUGUGCAGUCCAUUUACGCAUUAGAACACCAGCGUCCACAAGCCUCUCUGAUGUGAUGGAUGACAACACAUCACCUAACUGGGGAGCGACCCCGCAUCCCCCUUUCUCAGCCUGCACAGAAGGAACAGUAGGAGGGUCUGAAAAUCGUGAUGCACCGACCACUGGUGAAGCGGAUGUCCUGCUCUGACUGGAUGCUGUAAACACCAUUUUAUGUGUUAAGGCAUAUUCAUCUGCCAGGACCGCUGCCUGACCCAACGUCGCCACCUUCUUUUCACUAAGAUGCAUCACAAUUCUUUCAGACGGGCCGUUUUCAGCUUCAACCGAGCGACCUCUACAGACUCGGGGGACACAGGAGACAACGGGUCAUACUUUGGCAGAGUUCGAGGCACCGGAGUUUCCCCACCUCCCACACCGCCCCUCAACCGUGCAGGCGAGGGAUUUUCUACGGCACCCUCGUCCUCCCUCUCAUCCUCUGUUUCCACAUCCUCCACAGCCAUAACUCCUACCCUUGACAGACUCAAUAAAUGGUUUUUGAUCACCAUUACUAAAUUUGCUUUACGAGCCUGCCUAUCAACUGUAAUUUUGUAGUAGUCCACUAGCGCUAACAAAUCAACCUUACGCAGAUUAACCAAUGAACCCAAUGAGGGCUCCGCAAUAAAGCCUGCCACAUCUGAAGUAGCCGCCAUGCUCACACCUCAUCCAGUACAAUCCUGCACUACUCAGUACUCAAACACCACAAACUACAAAUACUAACAAACUACACGACAGAACAACAACUACUAUACUUUACUCACACCCCAACACCACACCCCAAUCACCGAGCACAGGGCAAUCCGAGCAGCGGGGCGCCCAGAUCCCGGACGAGCCCCCAUUUGUUACGUUCUAACUCCCAAAAGGGAGGGGAGCCUGACAACCCCCUGCUCGGGCCCACCGAUGCCAGCGAAGGAGGUAUGGAGUCGCAGUGCGAGAAAAGGACACAAACACCAAAUACCGUAUAAAAACAAAGCUUUUAUUUGGCCACG
ensembl:lncRNA